rnacentral:rRNA from 1 species
AUUCCAGCUCCAGUAGCGUAUAUUAAAGUUGUUGCAGUUAAAAAGCUCGUAGUUGGAUUUCUGGUACGCUGCGCCUGAGCCGCCUGCUUUAAGCAUGGUGUGUCUCGGAGCGCGGUUGCCAUCCUUCUAGAAAACGUUUCUAUCCUUCGCUGGACCGGAUUCGCAAUCUAGAUCUUUUACUUUGAAAAAAUUAGAGUGUUUAAAGCAGGCUUAUGCUAUGAAUACAUUAGCAUGGAAUAAUAAUAUAGGACUUUGGUUCUAUUUUGUUGGUUUCUAGAACUAAAGUAAUGAUUGAUAGGGAUAGUUGGGGGUGCUAGUAUUCAGCGGCCAGAGGUGAAAUUCUUGGAUUCGCUGAAGACUAACUUAUGCGAAAGCAUUCACCAAGGAUGUCUUCAUCG